GAAGAAGGAAGAAGGCAGCCGGGGUCCUUGCAGCACCAGUUAGCCGUUUGGCUAGUAGCCGUGUGGGACUGGGUGUCCUGUGGUGUAUUUUGUCUCAAUUGAAGAACUGUUUUCCUGAUGGAAUAAAUUCAGGACCACCAUGUAUUUGUCUGGUAGUGCACCUUAAAGGGUGUUGGAUGUUGAUUGCUAGUCGCUGUUCUCUUAUAUUGUUUUUUUGUUUGAUGUUUAUUUGAUUUUAUGUGACAAUUGUGAAACUGACUGCUCCCUGACUUAUUUGUGGUGAUUAAUUUCCUAGCCAGCUAUAUGUGUUUUUGUUUAUUGUUUUUUGUUUAAUGUAUUGGUUGAUUUGUUGCUGGCUAGUGGAAUUGUUUAUUUAUCUAUUUUUGUUUUUUUCUUUAAAUUAUGUAUUUAAUUUAAACCGCUUUCCAUCCUUGAUUAAGCUGCAGGGGGUAGUUUCCCAUCGUGGUCGGUGGAGAACUGGGAGUACAAUUUAAUAGAGCCCUUAUAGGUCUUUUGGUGUGGCUUCUAAUUGUGAACGUGUAUCACAUAAGCAUGUUUGUAGUGAAGGGCUUAUGGGGGUUUGCUGUGGUUUGCACAUGAUGCAGUGAAGUGUCCCCUGUAUAGGUAGCUCAGGUUUUUUUGUAUUCCUAGUUGGACAAAUUGAGAAAUUGCUGCCCCUGCCAGCUGAAUUAAGUCAUGCCCUGAAUAAUUUUAUGGUAGUGUUUAAUAAAGAAUUUUGUACUUUUUUUACAAUUUGUUGUUG